rnacentral:rRNA from 1 species
UACGUAGGGACCAAGCGUUGUUCGGAUUUACUGGGCGUAAAGGGCGCGUAGGCGGCCUGGCAAGUCACUUGUGAAAUCUCCGGGCUUAACUCGGAACUGCCAAGUGAAACUGCUGGGCUAGAGUGCAGAAGGGGCAAUCGGAAUUCUUGGUGUAGCGGUGAAAUGCGUAGAUAUCAAGAGGAACACCUGAGGUGAAGACGGGUUGCUGGGCUGACACUGACGCUGAUGCGCGAAAGCCAGGGGAGCAAACGGG